GAUGAACGCUAGCGGCAGGCCUAACACAUGCAAGUCGAGGGGUAGAGGUUGCUUGCAACCUUGAGACCGGCGCACGGGUGCGUAACGCGUAUGCAAUCUGCCUUGUACUGAGGGAUAGCCCAGAGAAAUUUGGAUUAAUACCUCAUAGUAUCUUUUCCCGGCAUCGGGAGAUUAUUAAAGUUCCAACGGUACAAGAUGAGCAUGCGUCCCAUUAGCUAGUUGGUAUGGUAACGGCAUACCAAGGCAAUGAUGGGUAGGGGUCCUGAGAGGGAGAUCCCCCACACGUGUACUGGGACACGGACCAGACCCCUACGGGAGGCAGCAGUGAGGAAUAUUGGUCAAUGGGCGCAAGCCUGAACCAGCCAUGCCGCGUGCAGGGUGAAGCAUCUAUGGUGUGUAAACUGCUUUUAUACGGGAAGAAACACCGGUUCGUGAACCGGCUUGACGGUACCGUAAGAAUAAGGAUCGGCUAACUCCGUGCCAGCAGCCGCCGUAA
rnacentral:rRNA from 1 species